GUGUUCUGGGAAGCUUCAAGCAGCAGCCCCGAGGGACUGGGAUUGGCUGUUCCAGCCUAUGCUCCUUCCUUGCUCUGCUGCAGCCCCUGGGCAGGAGGAUGGGGUUACAGCUGCAAAACCGCCUGCCUUUGUUCCAGCCUCGCCCUCCAUUCCCUGCCCAAGAGCUCAAGGGACAAAACAGGACAACUGCUUCAGCAGCUUCACUGUAUGUCCUCAUCUGUCAGUGGUCCCAUUGCUCCCAAUCGGCCUGGAAAUGAGGCGCUUCUGCUCGGUUAAGUACGAGUCCAAGGAUGGCACAGUUCUUUCCCUGAUAUUUCCACGAAGACGCAUCUUUACCCUCGUGAAAAGUCAACGUGCUGAAACUCACCAGUUUCCAUUGUUGUCACUGUUGACAAUCCCAGCUCUCGGGUUCUGCAGGACUUUGGAGAAGGGCCGUCCAGCAUGAGCUUCGCAGAGCGGAGUGAAGUCAGUGUUCAUACUCCACUGGUUAAGUUCCAGCUGAGACGGACGGAAAUAUAUUUUCUACAGUUUAGAGAUGUCUCCACGAUGCCUUGUUUGGGAUUUGCUUAAAUGCAAAUCUCUUGAUGUGUGUUUCCCUCCAAUUUGCAUGGUCAGUGUGGAUCAUUCCCGAAGAUUCUCUUUCCUGCCUAAGCUGACAUUUCACGGAUGAAAACUGAGCUGAGCUUUAUGGACAGGAAAAUCAUAGAAUUACAGAAUGGUUUGGGUUGGAAGGGACCUUAAAUCCCAACACCCCUGCCAUAGACAGGGACACCUUCUACUGGAUCAGGGGCUCCAAGCCCCAUCCAACCUGGCCUGGAGCACCUCCAGGGAUGGAGCAGCCACCACUGCUCUGGGCAAAUUUGGAUUGAAGUGAGAGGCUGGUAAAUCUUGCAGUGGUCAACAUCUCUUUAUAGGUGAGGAACCUGGCUGGAAAAACAAGGCUUGGGACAAGAGCAUCUUUUUUUGUGUGUAAGUGUGAGAUACCUGUGUGCAGUUGAAGAUGCUUGGGGAGCAGUACUGCCCCUCUGGGACCCCACAGAACAGCUUGUGCAUUGCACAAUUAAAACUGUGUCCUUGGACACUGUGAAUGCAGGAGGCUUUUCAUGCCAUCCACUGGCACCUGCGGGGAGGUGGGUGGCAGUCAGCCUGGGACAAUUCAGCUCAUGGGGCUGUCAAGAACAUCUUUUAGCAAACCCAAUGCUCCUGGGGUGAAGGCAGGAUUUGGGGCUCUGUUAUCAAGCGAGGGGUCUGCUUUCUGAAGGUCUGAGGUUAGCCUCCAGUGAGGUGCCAGGAGAGGAAACAGCAGCCGGGAAAGGACCUGUCCUUACGUAGCUGCUGGACCUCAGGACUAUAGCCAUUCCUUUGUUCCCAGCCCGUAGCAAGCCUGUUUCCUGCAGGAUUUGAACAGAGAAGCAGAGUUAAGCCUUUAAAUUCUUCUUUAUGCAGCACAGCUUAUAUAUCCGACUUCUGAAACAUACCCACAUUGGCUGUGAGAGCCUUUUUGCCCACAACAUGGUUAGCACAACCUAUCGAUACGGUGAGGACAGGCUGUGCUGAGGCAGAUCAUCGGAGCGUUUUGUGUACAAGCCGAGUGAGCUGGUGUGCAGCACUGCUGUGCUCAUCUUACAUGAGCAGGACAAGACUGGCGCCAAUGCAUCCCUCAUAAUUAAAUAUUUCUCCUCUGGAGUCUGCUGCCAGCUUGCGGGUCUAUUAGGAGAAAAACAAAAUGCAAAGAGCAGCAGCUGGCCAAGGCUGCAUCUGCUCAGUCCAGCGAGGUAAGUGAGGAAGGCAGAGCUGAAAUGAUGUCCUGAAUAAUUCCCAGCGUUCUUAACUUAUAUAACGUUCC